rnacentral:rRNA from 1 species
AUUGAACGCUGGCGGCAUGCUUUACACAUGCAAGUCGAACGGUAACAGGGUGCUUGCACCGCUGACGAGUGGCGAACGGGUGAGUAAUGCAUCGGAACGUACCCAGUCGUGGGGGAUAACGUAGCGAAAGUUACGCUAAUACCGCAUACGUCCUGAGGGAGAAAGCGGGGGACCGUAAGGCCUCGCGCGAUUGGAGCGGCCGAUGUCGGAUUAGCUAGUUGGUAGGGUAAAGGCCUACCAAGGCGACGAUCCGUAGCGGGUCUGAGAGGAUGAUCCGCCACACUGGAACUGAGACACGGUCCAGACUCCUACGGGAGGCAGCAGUGGGGAAUUUUGGACAAUGGGCGAAAGCCUGAUCCAGCCAUGCCGCGUGAGUGAAGAAGGCCUUCGGGUUGUAAAGCUCUUUCAGCCGGAAAGAAAUCGCGCAGGAUAAUACUCUGCGUGGAUGACGGUACCGGAAGAAGAAGCACCGGCUAACUACGUGCCAGCAGCCGCGGUAACAC